rnacentral:rRNA from 1 species
UACGUAGGGAGCAAGCGUUGUUCGGAAUUAUUGGGCGUAAAGCGCGUGUAGGCGGCUUUGCAAGUCGGGUGUGAAAGCCCUCAGCUUAACUGAGGAAGUGCGCCCGAAACUGCAGAGCUUGAGUACCGGAGAGGAUGGUGGAAUUCCCCAAGUAGAGGUGAAAUUCGUAGAUAUCAGGAAGAACACCUAUGGCGAAGGCAGCACUCUGGGACGGUACUGACGCUGAGACGCGAAAGCGUGGGGAGCGAACAGG